rnacentral:rRNA from 1 species
CAGUCGCCGCGGUAAUACGAAGGGGGCUAGCGUUGUUCGGAAUUACUGGGCGUAAAGCGCACGUAGGCGGAUAUUUAAGUCAGGGGUGAAAUCCCGCAGCUCAACUGCGGAACUGCCUUUGAUACUGGGUAUCUUGAGUAUGGAAGAGGUUAGUGGAAUUGCGAGUGUAGAGGUGAAAUUCGUAGAUAUUCGCAGGAACACCAGUGGCGAAGGCGGCUAACUGGUCCAUAACUGAUGCUGAGGUGCGAAAGCGUGGGGAGCAAACAGGAUUAGAUACCCCUGUAGUCCCUGUCUCUUAUAC